rnacentral:rRNA from 1 species
AGUGAACGCUGGCGGUAGGCCUAACACAUGCAAGUCGAACGGCAGCACAGUAAGAGCUUGCUCUUACGGGUGGCGAGUGGCGGACGGGUGAGGAAUACAUCGGAAUCUACUUUUUCGUGGGGGAUAACGUAGGGAAACUUACGCUAAUACCGCAUACGACCUACGGGUGAAAGCAGGGGAUCUUCGGACCUUGCGCGAUUGAAUGAGCCGAUGUCGGAUUAGCUAGUUGGCGGGGUAAAGGCCCACCAAGGCGACGAUUCGUAGCUGGUCUGAGAGGAUGAUCAGCCACACUGGAACUGAGACACGGUCCAGACUCCUACGGGAGGCAGCAGUGGGGAAUAUUGGACAAAGGGCGCAAGCCUGAUCCAGCCAUACCGCGUGGGUGAAGAAGGCCUUCGGGUUGUAAAGCCCUUUUGUUGGGAAAGAAAAGCAGCAGGUUAAUACCCCGCUGUUCUGACGGUACCCAAAGAAUAAGCACCGGCUAACUUCGUG